CAGGAUGAACGCUGGCGGUAUGCCUAACACAUGCAAGUCGUACGAGAGUUUUUAACUCAAGUGGCGGACGGGUGAGUAACACGUGAGAAUCUGCCUUUAGGAGGGGGACAACAACUGGAAACGGUUGCUAAUACCCCAUAUGCUUUCGAGUGAAAUGAAUUUAUUCGCCUAAAGAGGAGCUCGCGGCUGAUUAGCUUGUUGGUAGAGUAAUAGCCUACCAAGGCGACGAUCAGUAUCUGGUUUGAGAGGACGAUCAGACACACUGGAACUGAGACACGGUCCAGACUCCUACGGGAGGCAGCAGUGGGGAAUUUUCCGCAAUGGGCGAAAGCCUGACGGAGCAAUACCGCGUGAGGGAAGACGGCCUAUGGGUUGUAAACCUCUUUUCUCAGGGAGGAAUUCAAUGACGUGUACCUGAGGAAUAAGCAUCGGCUAACUCCGUGCCAGCAGCCGCGGUAAGACGGAGGAUGCAAGUGUUAUCCGGAAUCACUGGGCGUAAAGCGUCUGUAGGUUGUUUAAUAAGUCAACUGUUAAAUCUUGAGGCUCAACCUCAAAAUCGCAGUCGAAACUAUUAGACUAGAGUAUAGUAGGGGUAAAGGGAAUUUCCAGUGGAGCGGUGAAAUGCGUAGAGAUUGGAAAGAACACCGAUGGCGAAGGCACUUUACUGGGCUAUUACUAACACUCAGAGACGAAAGCUAGGGUAGCAAAUGGGAUUAGAUACCCCAGUAGUCCUAGCUGUAAACAAUGGAUACUAGAUGUUGAACAGAUCGACCUGUGCAGUAUCAAAGCUAACGCGUUAAGU
rnacentral:rRNA from 1 species